UCUCUCUCUCUCUCUCUCUUUCCCAUAACUGCGUGCUCUCGGUCUAAUAACCAUUAACCAUGGCAACAAGGUUGGCUGCUAGAUAUGUAUCUCGAAGGUUCUCAAGUGGUGGCAAAAUACUUAGCGAGGAGGAAAAGGCUGCGGAGAAUGUUUACAUCAAGGUAAUCUCCUUUAUGUAUUCAGUCAUGCUCCCCCUGCCCCUUCUCUUUUUUUCAUUAUAUGAGGGUGUGCUUGUUUCUGAUUUUUCAUUUUUCCAUUAUGCAUGGAAUUAUUGAAAUGUGAACUCUGGGUGGAGGAGGGAUUUUAUACUGAUAUCAUAGAACUUAAGAUGGUUUUUACUUCUUACUACUGGUAGAGCAUUUGUAAAUAGAUUGGGAUGUGGGAUAUCAAUCUAAUGAGUUGGCGUUGUUUUGGAUAUUUUUUUUUUUACAAGUUGAGGGUCCUGGUAAGUUAUAUAUUCCAGGAAAAAUCUAGAUUACUGCUUACAAACAAAUAGUGCCUUUGCUGUGUUUAAUGAUCUAAAGGCCUUUUUAAACUUUUGGAUUAAAUCUGAAACAGAAACUGUUCAUCAAAAAAGUUUGCAAAUUAAGCUGUAGUGAGCUUUGUGGAUCAACAAUUUACCUUGGUUCACAGAAAUUACACCCUAACUCCGAAAUUAGUAAUUUACUUGUAUAUUUUUCACCAUUUCUUAUUGCAAGGUGAAUUUAUUAAGUGCUGGGUUCAUUUUUGCAAAUGUCAAGACCCACUAUAUGAGUAAAAUAUUAUAAGUUUUUUAUCUUUAAAUUUUUAUUUUACUUUCUGUAGUAUCGGCAUGUAUCAAUUGGUUAAUGGGCAAAAUCAAAGAAUUUGACUAGUAUUAUCAUUGAGUGAGUAUUACUAUUAUUAUAGACAGCAAUUGAUGUUUAACCUUUAAGUUGACAAAUUUGCAUGUUAUUGAAUUCAAGAAGAGCUGUUGGCACCCAUACCUAAGGUGGCAACGCACAGAAACUCACUGUUAGAAAUAUCAGUGUGGAAAAUGGAACAUUUGAGAAUAUGCUUUUGUAUGUUAUACUCCCCAAAAAAUGCUUAGGCGCAGAAAGAGUUAUAAUCUAACGAAUUUCAUGUAAAUCAAAGUAAUCCAGUUACCAGUCAGUAUUGUUGUUUUUCCUGUUCUUGAAAUCUUCAAUAAAUUGCUAGCCAGCCUAGAUUGAUUUAAUAUGUAGAGUUCCUUUUACUCAAAGGAACUGAAAAUUAGCUAGCAGUUCGCUACUUUGUGAGUUUUAAUUUGCUUCUGCUUCAUUAUCUCAUAGUCGUGUGUUGAAUGCUAAUUGUUUUGAUGUUGCAGAAAACUGAGCAAGAGAAAUUGGAGAAGCUUGCACGAAAGGUAUGAACAUUGGUUUAAUAUGUUCUGCUUGCCUUGUUAAGGACAACUUUUGGAAGAUACUAGCUUUUUGAUCAUCAGACAUUUUUCAUUGCAUAUCUUUUUAGGUAGUUCACCUUCUGGUAUUAUUUAAUAUUUUUAGGAUAUUGCUUGAACAUAUGAUGUAACCUAUCAUUAGAAAAGUAAGACUACUACAAACAGAUAUAAACAUGCAGCUACUCCCAUUUCCUUACAAAAGAGUUUCCAGGUUGUCUUUAAAGUCAUCCAACGUUUUACUUACAGUGAUUUUAGGAAAUAGAUCAGAUGCAUAUAUUCCUCCAUGAGAUGGCAGCGGGGGAGUUUCUUUUUUUAUUAUUAUUUUUUAUGUUCAGAAUGCUCUUUUCUGUUUUAGGAAAUAGUGAUAUGGGUUCUCUGUCACUGUGGGGUUGGAGUGACAGAAUUGUUUCAGUGCCCUGAAGCUCUCAUGUUCCUUUAGCAGGGCCCUAAACCAGAAGAGAAAACUACCUCAGCCUCAGCAGGAUCACCAACUGAGGUCAAACCAAGUGCUUCAGAUUCUUCAACAUCAGGAGCAUCUGCCGAAAAAGUAUCAAGCGAUAAAUACCGGAACUAUGCAGUUGUAGCUGGUACAAUUACAGUUUUUGGUGCUCUAGGAUGGUAUCUAAAUUCCCGUGGGAAGAAGACUGAAGAGAUCCAAGACUGAGGUCAAUUUGCUUGAGUGUGAAGACUAAAGAGGCAUCUGUUGGUUUUUACUAUCAACCCUGGACUUCGCAAUAAACAAGAUUUUACCAUGCGUUGACACGGUAUUGUUUGGUUCUGUUAGAACCAUGUGUGACUUUAUUUAAUUUUUUUUUUCAAUUUCUGCAUUUAGCAGUGGCUUUUGGGGAUGUCCUCAUACUUUUUUUGAAAUCACAAGAGGUAUUAUCUGAGAUGAAUUCCGUAAGUGCAGUGUCUGAUAGAUGAUGAUAAGGAUAUUUAUAGUGCAAUAAAUAGUUCUUUUAGUGCUAGAAUUAGGAAUCUCAAAAUAUUAAGACAUUUAAGGACGCUAAGAGAGAGAGAUUCUGUGGUGGAACGAAUGCUGCCAUAUGAUGAGAAAAUUGCAGUUGUACCGUCUCUGAUGAGAAGUUAAUUGCCGAAGGACUAGGUCAAUGCAUUUAUCUUGAAAUCUGAUGAUGGCUUUGUCAGUGGUCUAAGGGUUGGCGUUCAUGCAAGGCCUAGUAAAAGCAAGGCUACUCAAUCAAGCAGAUCCAAUCUCAGAAAGAAUACUGGUAAGAUGAAUAGGUAGCAAUUCAAACAAUAGUAUUAAACGAACCUUAGACCGUAUAGAUUUAAGAAUGAAACUAAAACUUGGUGAUGAAAGAUAUAGCAAUUGUCGGUCUCCGACUGGUUUUCUAAUUUUUCAAAUGACUCUUCCAAAGUUUGAAGCUAACAUCUACUACUUGAAAAUUAUGACUGCUUUCUUUAUACGUGAAUAAGAAUUAAACCUUG
rnacentral:misc_RNA from 1 species